AGCCAUGAGCACCGCAUGGAGCUCAUGCCAAAUAUCCUUUCGGGGACAGCGCAGGGAUGGACCUAUGGCGCAUUAGCUAGUUGGCGGGGCAACGGCCCACCAAGGCAACGAUGCGUAGCCGGCCUGAGAGGGCGGACGGCCACAUUGGGACUGAGACACGGCCCAGACUCCUACGGGAGGCAGCAGUAGGGAAUUUUCGGCAAUGGGGGAAACCCUGACCGAGCAACGCCGCGUGAGCGAAGAAGGCCUUCGGGUCGUAAAGCUCUGUUGUAAAGGAAGAACGGCGCAUACAGGAAAUGGUAUGCGAGUGACGGUACUUUACCAGAAAGCCACGGCUAACUACGUGCCAGCAGCCGCGGUAAUACGUAGGUGGCGAGCGUUAUCCGGAAUCAUUGGGCGUAAAGAGGGAGCAGGCGGCCGCAAGGGUCUGUGGUGAAAGACCGAAGCUAAACUUCGGUAAGCCAUGGAAACCGGGCGGCUAGAGUGCGGAAGAGGAUCGUGGAAUUCCAUGUGUAGCGGUGAAAUGCGUAGAUAUAUGGAGGAACACCAGUGGCGAAGGCGACGGUCUGGGCCGCAACCGACGCUCAUUCCCGAAAGCGUGGGGAGCAAAUAGGAUUAGAUACC
rnacentral:rRNA from 1 species